GUUACCUGGAAAGAGAAAGCAAAAGAGGGUAAAAACCCCGUACAGUAGGACCACCGAACAUUAGUAAAGCUCCUUAGACGAGUAGAGUAGUUUGGGAAUGGUGCUCUAAAUGGGAGGUGUACGUCUUCUAAAGCUAAAUACCGGCCAGAGACCGAUAGCGCACAAGUAGAGUGAUCGAAAGAUGAAAAGCACUUUGAAAAGAGGGUUAAAAAGUACGUGAAAUUGUUGAAAGGGAAGCAUUUAUGACCAGACUUGGACUUGGUUGAACAUCCGGCGUUCUCGCCGGUGCACUCUGCCAGUUCAGGCCAGCAUCAGUUUGCUCCGGGGGAUAAAGGCGGUGGGAAUGUGGCUCCCCUCGGGGAGUGUUAUAGCCCGCCGUGUAAUGCCCUGGGGCGGACUGAGGAACGCGCUUCGG
rnacentral:sRNA from 1 species